GCUAACGUAGCUUAAUUUUAAAGCAUAACGCUGAAGAUGUUAAGAUGAGCCCUAGAAAGCUCCGUGAGCA
rnacentral:tRNA from 2 species